CUUUUUACCUCAUUGCCCAGACUUGAAGCUAAAAAAUACAUAUACUAUCUCAUAUGGGUAUUAAAGCAGUUGUUCUCAAUGUUGGCCUCAAAGUGGAAUCACCUGGGGAGUUUUGAAAGCUCCUACUUCCUUGAAACCCUAAUUUUAGAGACUUGAUCUAACUUGUCUGAGAUAAGCAAGGCAAGGUACUUCUAUAGCAGGGUGCGCCCUUACAGAUGGAGGAAUGGUGAGCACACACUUGGACAAGGGAGGGGAAGGGUUUCUUAUCCCUGA